rfam:Aedes albopictus isolate Foshan contig18952, whole genome shotgun sequence.
UAGUCUAGUGGUUAAGGCUAUGGAUCGCCAAUCCGGAGACGGCGGGUUCGAUUCCCGU